AACAAACGCUGGCGGCGUGCCUAACACAUGCAAGUCGUACGAGAAAGUCGGCUUCGGCCGAUGAGUACAGUGGCGCACGGGUGAGUAGCGCGUGGGUAAUCUGCCCCCCGGUCAGGAAUAACCCGCCGAAAGGCGGGCUAAUACCCGAUAACACUGACGCUCCGCGGAGCGUCUUUCAAAGAAGGCCUCUGUUUACAAGCUUUCGCCGGAGGAUGAGCCCGCGUACCAUUAGCUAGUUGGCAGGGUAAUGGCCUACCAAGGCUACGAUGGUUAGCUGGUCUGAGAGGAUGGCCAGCCACACUGGAACUGAGACACGGUCCAGACUCCUACGGGAGGCAGCAGUGAGGAAUCUUGCGCAAUGGGGGAAACCCUGACGCAGCAACGCCGCGUGAGUGAGGAAGGCCUCGGUCGUAACGACUCUGUCAGAUAGGAAGGAAAGUAGGAGAGGGGCGGUAAGUAUCGUCCCACUCCUUCGUACGGUACCGUACUACUACGAGGAAGGACGAACCGGCCGUAACCG
rnacentral:rRNA from 1 species